GAGAAGUUAGUUAAGACAUAAUAACGUAAGCUUGUCAUGCUUAAGUGGUCUUUUUAGACACUUCUUU
rnacentral:tRNA from 1 species